AUUGAACGCUGGCGGCAGGCCUAACACAUGCAAGUCGAGCGGAUGAAGGGAGCUUGCCCUUGGAUUCAGCGGCGGACGGGUGAGUAAUGCCUAGGAAUCUGCCUGGUAGUGGGGGAUAACGUCGGGAAACGGGCGCUAAUACCGCAUACGUUCUGAGGGAGAAAGUGGGGGAUCUUCGGACCUCGCGCUAUCAGAUGAGCCUAGGUCGGAUUAGCUAGUUGGGGGGGUAAGGCCUUCCAAGGCGACGAUCCGGAACUGGCCUGAGAGGAUGAUCAGUCACACUGGAACUGAGACACGGUCCAGACUCAUACGGGAGGCAGCAGUAGGGAAUAUUGGACAAUGGGCGAAAGCCUGAUCCAGCCAUGCCGCGUGUGUGAAGAAGGUCUUCGGAUUGUAAAGCACUUUAAGUUGGGAGGAAGGGCAGUAAGUUAAUACCUUGCUGUUUUGACGUUACCAACAGAAUAAGCACCGGCUAACUUCGUG
rnacentral:rRNA from 1 species